GUGCUCACUUCAGCAGCACAUAUACUAAAAUUGGAAUAAUACAGAGAAGAUUAGCAUGACCUCUGCACAAAGAUGACACACAAAUUUUAAUUUAUUUAUUUUA
rnacentral:snRNA from 1 species